rnacentral:rRNA from 1 species
CAGAGGGUGCAAGCGUUGUUCGGAAUUAUUGGGCGUAAAGCGCGUGUAGGCGGCCUGGCAAGUUGGGUGUGAAAGCCCUCGGCUUAACCGAGGAAGUGCGCCCAAAACUACGAGGCUUGAGUACCGGAGAGGGUGGCGGAAUUCCCGGUGUAGAGGUGAAAUUCGUAGAUAUCGGGAGGAACACCAGUGGCGAAGGCGGCCACCUGGACGGAUACUGACGCUGAGACGCGAAAGCGUGGGUAGCAAACAGGAUUAGAUACCCUGGUAGUCCACGCCGUAAACGAUGAGCGCUAGGUGUUGUGGGUGUUGACCCCUGCAGUGCCGCAGCUAACGCAUUAAGCGCUCCGCCUGGGAAGUACGGCCGCAAGGCUA